GACGAACGCUGGCGGCGAGCUUAACACAUGCAAGUCGAACGGAAAGGCCCUGCUUUUGUGGGGUGCUCGAGUGGCGAACGGGUGAGUAACACGUGAGUAACCUGCCCUUGACUUUGGGAUAACUUCAGGAAACUGGGGCUAAUACCGGAUAGGAGCUCCUGCUGCAUGGUGGGGGUUGGAAAGUUUCGGCGGUUGGGGAUGGACUCGCGGCUUAUCAGCUUGUUGGUGGGGUAGUGGCUUACCAAGGCUUUGACGGGUAGCCGGCCUGAGAGGGUGACCGGCCACAUUGGGACUGAGAUACGGCCCAGACUCCUACGGGAGGCAGCAGUGGGGAAUAUUGCACAAUGGGCGGAAGCCUGAUGCAGCAACGCCGCGUGCGGGAUAACGGCCUUCGGGUUGUAAACCGCUUUCGCCUGUGACGAAGCGUGAGUGACGGUAAUGGGUAAAGAAGCACCGGCUAACUACGUG
rnacentral:rRNA from 1 species